rnacentral:rRNA from 1 species
UCAGGUUAAGCUGGGGACUCUAAAGGAACUGCCUACGCAAGUAGUGAGGAAGGCGGGGAGUGACGUCAAAUCAGCACGGCCCUUACGUCCAGGGCUACACACGUGCUACAAUGGCCGAUACAGAGGGCAGCUACCUGGUGACAGGAUGCAAAUCUCCAAAGUCGGUCUCAGUUCGGAUCGGAGUCUGCAACCCGACUCCGUGAAGUUGGAUUCGCUAGUAAUCGCGCAUCAGCCAUGGCGCGGUGAAUACGUUCCCGGGCCUU